rfam:Pan troglodytes isolate Yerkes chimp pedigree #C0471 (Clint) chromosome 4, whole genome shotgun sequence.
UCUGGGCAUGGUGGUGCAUGCCUGUAGUCCCAGCUACUUGGGAGGCUGAGGCAGGAGAAUCGCUGGAGCCCAGGAGUUUGAGGCUGCAGUGAGUCAUGAUUGCACCACUGCACUCCAGCCUGGGUGACAGAGUGAGACCCUGUCUCUU